CCACAGCCCUGGAGCUCGGACUAUUCUGACUGGUGGAUCAGGUGGUAAAUCGAGGAUUUGACUGAAUGAAGCCUGAAGGGCAUCGUGGACAUUUCCAGAGUCAGUUGGUUCAGGGAGAACUCUAACCCCUAAGUUAUAGCGAUGGCCUCUGUUAUCUGUGUCCUCUGGGGUCUUCUCAGUUCACACAAGGCCUGAGUUUGGGCGUCUGAAUUAUUGUGGAUUUGGAUUGCUAAA